rnacentral:rRNA from 1 species
AUACGUAGGUGACAAGCGUUAUCCGGAUUUACUGGGCGUAAAGGGCGUGUAGGCGGUCUUGCAAGUCAGAAGUGAAAUUCCUGAGCUCAACUCGGGCGCUGCUUCUGAAACUGCAGGACUUGAGUGCUGGAGGGGAUAGCGGAAUUCCUAGUGGAGCGGUAAAAUGCGCAGAUAUUAGGAAGAACACCGGUGGCGAAGGCGGCUAUCUGGACAGUAACUGACGCUGAGGCGCGAAAGCACGGGGAGCAAACAGGAUUAGAUACCCUGGUAGUCCACGCCGUAAACGGUGAAUACUAGGUGUAGGGGGUAUCGACUCCCUCUGUGCCGCAGUUAACACAAUAAGUAUUCCGCCUGGGGAGUACGGCCGCAAGGUUGAAACUCAAAUGAAUUGACGGGG